AUACGAGUGUUAAGACAUAAUUCUGAUAGGUUAGCAGUAUAUACUUGUUUACCUCACUUUUUUCCCCGCUCAAGAGUCAGAAAUAUUUGAAAUUGACAGUUUAAAAAGUGUCCUGAGAUAUUGUUGUGUAAGCAUCAUGGCUCACUACAAAGGAGCAGCGAGUGAAGCUGGCAGAGCAAUGCAGCUUAUGAAGAAAAGAGAAAAAGCUCAACAAGAAAUUGAAUUUCGGAAAAAGAAGAUUGAGGAAGAUUUGAAAAUAUCCAAUAUUGAAAAUAAAUUUGCUGCUCAUUAUGAUGCUGUUGAGCAGCAGCUUAAGAGUUCCACAAUUGGUUUGGUUACACUAAACGAGAUGAAGGCUAAGCAAGAAAAUAUUGUCAAAGAGCGAGAACGAAAACUGGCACAGAAACAACUAGAAAAAGAACAAGAGAAACAAAGACAACUGGAGGCUAAACAAGCAGAAAAAAACAGACAGAAGCAACAGAUUCAGUCCUUGUCCUUCAGUCUUGAGGAAGAAGAGGAAAAUGAUGAUGAUGAUUUAAGCCACACCAGUGACUCAGCCGAAGAGAAGUUUGAGCCUCCUGUGAAAAAGAAAAUCAGAAAAAAUCCUGAUGUUGAUACAAGUUUUUUGCCGGACCGUGAAAGAGAAGACGAGGAGAACCGAUUACGAGAAGAGCUCAGGCAGGAAUGGGCAGCCAAACAAUCAUCUCUGAAGGAGGAAGAAAUAGAAAUAACAUUCAGUUACUGGGAUGGCUCAGGUCAUAGGAGAACAGUACGGAUGAAAAAAGGAAAUUCUAUAUACCAGUUUCUACAGAGAUGCUUGGAGUUGCUUCGCAAGGAAUUCAGUGAGUUAAAGACGGUUACUGCUGAUCAACUGAUGUAUGUGAAAGAGGAUCUGAUUUUACCUCAUCACUACACAUUUUAUGAUUUCAUUGUUACAAAGGUAACAUCUAAGUGCCAUUAUAAGUGAUGUGAAUUCACUUAAGAGGGUAUAAGAAAAUUCAUAAAGAAUUUUGGAAACAGACAUCUGAUACACAAGGAUCAUCUCUCACGGGUCUCAUUAAUAUUCAGAGAGGGCCUGAUGGAAAAGUACUAUGAUCCAGCAUUAAGUAGGAGGCAGGCACGUGGUAAAAGUGGCCCUUUGUUUACAUUUGACGUGCACGAUGAUAUCAGACUAGUGAAUGAUGCAAGUGUCGAGAAGGAAGAAUCACAUGCAGGCAAGGUUUUGUUAAGGAGCUGGUACGAAAGAAACAAAC
rnacentral:misc_RNA from 1 species